GCUGGAAUCGCUAGUAAUCGCGAAUCAGAAUGUCGCGGUGAAUACGUUCCCGGGUCUUGUACACACCGCCCGUCACACCAUGGGAGUUGGUAACGCCCGAAGUCAGUGACCCAACCUUAGGGAGGGAGCUGCCGAAGGCGGGACUGAUAACUGGGGUGAAGUCGUAACAAGGUAAC
rnacentral:rRNA from 1 species